ACUCAGGAGAGACUCAUAUGUAAUUUGAGCGCCGAAGGUGUAAGCAGUUUGGUAUACUGCAAUUCUCUCAGGCAAAAGGAUGGAGGAAAG
rnacentral:ncRNA from 1 species